rnacentral:rRNA from 1 species
GAUGAACGCUGGCGGCGUGCCUAAUACAUGCAAGUAGAACGCUGAAGGAAGGAGCUUGCUCUUUCCGGAUGAGUUGCGAACGGGUGAGUAACGCGUAGGUAACCUGCCUGGUAGCGGGGGAUAACUAUUGGAAACGAUAGCUAAUACCGCAUAACAGUAGAUGUUGCAUGAUAUCUACUUAAAAGGUGCAAUUGCACCACUACCAGAUGGACCUGCGUUGUAUUAGCUAGUUGGUGAGGUAACGGCUCACCAAGGCGACGAUACAUAGCCGACCUGAGAGGGUGAUCGGCCACACUGGGACUGAGACACGGCCCAGACUCCUACGGGAGGCAGCAGUAGGGAAUCUUCGGCAAUGGACGGAAGUCUGACCGAGCAACGCCGCGUGAGUGAAGAAGGUUGUCGGAUCGUAAAGCUCUGUUGUAAGAGGAGAACGAGUGUGGGAGUGGAAAGUUCACACUGUGACGGUAUCUUACCAGAAAGGGGCGGCUAACUACGUG